AUUGAACGCUGGCGGCAGGCUUAACACAUGCAAGUCGAACGGUAACGGGUUGAAAGCUUGCUUUCAAUGCUGACGAGUGGCGGACGGGUGAGUAAGGCUUGGGGAUCUGGCUUUUGGAGGGGGAUAACCAUUGGAAACGAUGGCUAAUACCGCAUAGUAUCGAGAGAUGAAAGGGGUGGGAAACCACUUGCCAAGGGAUGAACCCAAGUGAGAUUAGGUAGUUGGUGGGGUAAGGGCCUACCAAGCCGACGAUCUCUAGCUGGUCUGAGAGGAUGGCCAGCCACACUGGGACUGAGACACGGCCCAGACUCCUACGGGAGGCAGCAGUGGGGAAUAUUGCGCAAUGGGGGGAACCCUGACGCAGCCAUGCCGCGUGAAUGAAGAAGGCCUUCGGGUUGUAAAGUUCUUUCGGUGGUGAGGAAGGUUAGGAUGUUAAUAGCAUACUGAUUUGACGUUAGCCACAGAAGAAGCACCGGCUAACUCCGUGCCAGCAGCCGCGGUAAUACGGAGGGUGCGAGCGUUAAUCGGAAUAACUGGGCGUAAAGGGCACGCAGGCGGGACGUUAAGUGAGAUGUGAAAGCCCCGGGCUUAACCUGGGAACAGCAUUUCAUACUGGCGUACUAGAGUACUUUAGGGAGGGGUAGAAUUCCACGUGUAGCGGUGAAAUGCGUAGAGAUGUGGAGGAAUACCGAAGGCGAAGGCAGCCCCUUGGGAAGAUACUGACGCUCAUGUGCGAAAGCGUGGGGAGCAAACAGG
rnacentral:rRNA from 1 species